UGGGAACUGCGUUNUGAACUGGGUGACUAGAGUGUGUCAGAGGGAGGUAGAAUUCCACGUGUAGCAGUGAAAUGCGUAGAGAUGUGGAGGAAUACCGAUGGCGAAGGCAGCCUCCUGGGAUAACACUGACGUUCAUGCCCGAAAGCGUGGGUAGCAAACAGGAUUAGAUACCCUGGUAGUCCACGCCCUAAACGAUGUCGAUUAGCUGUUGGGCAGCAUGACUGCUUAGUAGCGAAGCUAACGCGCGAAAUCGACCGCCUGGGGAGUACGGUCGCAAGAUUAAAACUCAAAGGAAUUGACGGGGACCCGCACAAGCGGUGGAUGAUGUGGAUUAAUUCGAUGCAACGCGAAGAACCUUACCUGGUCUUGACAUGUACGGAACCCUCCAGAGACGGAGGGGUGCCUUCGGGAGCCGUAACACAGGUGCUGCAUGGCUGUCGUCAGCUCGUGUCGUGAGAUGUUGGGUNNNNNNNNNNNNNCGAGCGCAACCCUUGUCAUUAGUUGCCAUCAUUAAGUUGGGCACUCUAAUGAGACUGCCGGUGACAAGCCGGAGGAAGGUGGGGAUGACGUCAAGUCCUCAUGGCCCUUAUGACCAGGGCUUCACACGUCAUACAAUGGUCGGUACAGAGGGUAGCCAAGCCGCGAGGUGGAGCCAAUCUCACAAAACCGAUCGUAGUCCGGAUUGCACUCUGCAACUCGAGUGCAUGAAGUCGGAAUCGCUAGUAAUCGCAGGUCAGCAUACUGCGGUGAAUACGUUCCCGGGUCU
rnacentral:rRNA from 1 species